rnacentral:rRNA from 1 species
AAGCAAUUAUACAGCGAAACUGCGAAUGGCUCAUUAAAUCAGUUAUCGUUUAUUUGAUAGUACCUUACUACUUGGAUAACCGUGGUAAUUCUAGAGCUAAUACAUGCUAAAAACCCCGACUCACGAAGGGGUGUAUUUAUUAGAUUAAAAACCAAUGCCCUUCGGGGCUCUUUGGUGAUUCAUAAUAACUUUUCGAAUCGCAUGGCCUUGCGCCGGCGAUGGUUCAUUCAAAUUUCUGCCCUAUCAACUUUCGAUGGCAGGGUCUUGGCCUGCCAUGGUUACAACGGGUAACGGAGGGUUAGGGCUCGACCCCGGAGAAGGAGCCUGAGAAACGGCUACUACAUCCAAGGAAGGCAGCAGGCGCGCAAAUUACCCAAUCCCGAUUCGGGGAGGUAGUGACAAUAAAUACUGAUACAGGGCUCUUUUGGGUCUUGUAAUUGGAAUGAGUACAAUUUAAAUCCCUUAACGAGGAACAAUUGGAGGGCAAGUCUGGUGCCAGCAGCCGCGGUAAUUCCAGCUCCAAUAGCGUAUAUUAAAGUUGUUGCAGUUAAAAAGCUCGUAGUUGAACCUUGGGCCUGGCUGGCCGGUCCGCCUCACCGCGUGCACUGGUUCGGCCGGGCCUUUCCCUCUGGGGAACCUCAUGGUCUUCACUGAUCGUGAUGGGGAACCAGGACUUUUACUGUGAAAAAAUUAGAGUGUUCAAAGCAGGCCUAUGCUCGAAUACAUUAGCAUGGAAUAAUAAAAUAGGACGUGUGGUUCUAUUUUGUUGGUUUCUAGGACCGCCGUAAUGAUUAAUAGGGACAGUCGGGGGCAUCAGUAUUCAAUUGUCAGAGGUGAAAUUCUUGGAUUUAUUGAAGACUAACUACUGCGAAAGCAUUUGCCAAGGAUGUUUUCAUUAAUCAGGAACGAAAGUUAGGGGAUCGAAGACGAUCAGAUACCGUCGUAGUCUUAACCAUAAACUAUGCCGACUAGGGAUCGGACGGUGUUACUUAUUGACCCGUUCGGCACCUUACGAGAAAUCAAAGUCUUUGG